rnacentral:rRNA from 1 species
CGCGCAGGUGGUUUCUUAAGUCUGAUGUGAAAGCCCACGGCUCAACCGUGGAGGGUCAUUGGAAACUGGGAGACUUGAGUGCAGAAGAGGAUAGUGGAAUUCCAAGUGUAGCGGUGAAACGCGUAGAGAUUUGGAGGAACACCUGUGGCGAAAGCGGUUUUCUAGCUUAUUCCUGACGCUAAUGCGCGAAAGCAAGGGGGAGCAAAACA